rnacentral:lncRNA from 1 species
CCAAGCAUACACACUAAAAAUAAAAUGCAACCUAGUCUAAGAAUUUAAAUCCAAAGAUAAAAGAGAGAAUCUAGGUUGCCCCCUAAUAGCGCUUGUUUAACAUCGCGAGCCUGACCCAAACCUGUUAAGCACUCAUCAGCGAGUGCGAUCCAUGCUAGCACCCAUAAGUGGGUGUUCCUACCUGGUAUCCUUUAGUGGAUACAAAAGUUAGCAUCUCUCAGUAGAUGCUACCCAAAAAUAAUGUUCAAAAAUACCAAUAUUUACAAAUCCAACUAAAAGAAAAAUAAUAAACAACAAUCACUGGGGUGCCUCCCAGUUAGCGUUGUUUUAACGUCAUUAGCUUGACCCAGUAGAGUUCAAACACCCAUAAGUAGACGUUGAUACUCCUUUUGCUAGCUAUUUUCAUCUUUUUCUUCUUCCUGCUAAAUCUCUUCAAAAAUUUGAGCAAACCAAGCACCGGUUUCCAUGUUUCAAUCAUAGGAAUUUUGAUCUCCAAUUUCUUGAAGAUCUCCAUACAGUACUUGAACUUCAUUUCCUUCCUAUGAUUUUUCUUUUUAUUAGGAAAGGGUUUUUCAUGUGAUCUUUUCUUCUUUCCUCUCUUCCUCUUUUUCUCAACCUUCUCCUUCUUCCACUUUCUUUUUUUCUUUUUCUUAUUUUCUUAUUUUUUUCUUUUUUCUCAACCACUGCUUUUUCGUUCUCCUGAUCUUUCUCUCCCUCACUCAACCUUUCUGCUUCAUCUUCCUCUAUUCUCUCCUCUUCUAUCUUUUCCACUUCUCUCUCCACCUUCUCCUUAUUAACAACCUCAUUAACAU